UGUGGUCUCCAGCCCCCUCGGGGAGGCACCUGCGGGUGCAGGCUGGGCUUUUCUGGAGCAUGAUGAAUGGAAAUGUGUCUUGCCUGGAGGCUGGCGGGGCUGCAGGAGCUCAGAGCUGGAGGAUGCAGUAUCCCACUAUAUCAGUUGCUUUAGUGAGAGAAACCUUAAUUGCCCCCUACUCAAAACUAAAAACAAAACUCAAAAAUAUCCCCAAACAAAUCAAACCUAAAAUAAUGUUUUAGGUAAACAUCUAAGAAUCUAAACCAAGUGUAGUGUGGUUUAGGGAAGGCCAAGUUUCUGUAGGUAUUUAUCUGUGCACAUGAAUCUUACAGUAAAAAACCCUGUGUAUUUACAGAUAGAAGAUUCCUGUAGUUACAUAUUUUUUUUUAUCAUGAUCCUGAUUUGCCUUCAAAAAUGAGCUCUUCUGCAAGUGCAGUCUUAUGCCUUUCUCUUCUCCCACCCCAAAGUUUUACUUCUGGUGUUGCAUGUUGGUUCCUCUUUACCUCCUGUUUGCUUGUAACUCAUGUUGUGGAGGUUAAUUUUGGCAGUGCUGUUUCCCCAGUGUGGUGCAGUUUCACGGCUGGGGCAGUCUUGGGGGAAUUGCAUUGAGAUCUUCCCCGCUGUGUGGUGGACAUCCAUCGUGCCAGCCCUGAACCCAGCACAUCCCUCCGUGCCGUUACGCAGCCCAACAGCAUUCACUUUUGUCAUCACUGCAAAUGGUAGAUGCUCUGAAGCUGAUGAUAAUUCAUCAAAACCCAGCAUUAACCUUAGCAAUUUAUUUUGUUCUGCUUUCCUAGGCAACCAAAUUUUAAACAAAUCCAUUUUUCUCAAUGUGGACCGUCCUAUUUGACUGUUGGAAACAUUGCUACAAAUAAAACUAUGCUGAGAACAUAAUAAAGUUGGUCUAGAAUUCAUUUAAAAUUCAGGUGAUGAAAGGUCACCUAUUAAGCAAGCUAAUCCUUUCUUUUUCUUUUUUUUUUGCACGCCUCAAUGAAAAAAUUUAUAUUUCUGCUAUGAAAUUAAUAUCUAGCCUCACCUAAAAUCGAAGUAUUUUGAAACAGUGUUUUUGGUUUUUUUCACCAUUAUUCCAGAGCCGUUGAAUGUGUUCAAACUUGAAGUAUGAUCUAAACUAGCCAGAUAUUUCUACCUCCACACACCUGCAAUGAUGCUUGAGUAUGCCAGCCUUCCCAUCGAGUCUGGUGUGUAACUUAGUUAUAUUCAAUAGCGAUCUACACUUACACUGUUACUGAUGCUGUAGCGCAUGACCUACUGCAAGUCAGGCUGAAUGAUCUGUCACAAGGGUAACAAUCCAUAUAGAUGAAAAGGGUGCAUAUACUGGGAGUGGCUUUCAGGUGACCAAGAGCCCUGCCAGCCUGGGGACUGGGAUGGGAUUGCCAGCCCAGGGGCUACACAGAGUGUUGACACCCCUUUUCCUCCUUUUUUCUUUGUGGGAACAGGUUUGUAUCUCUGGUACGGAGAGUUGCUCUUUACAGGUCUGAGAUUUUCCUUUUGUGGUUAUGCACGGCUUUUGAGAACAUGCCUUUCCUUUGAAUUUGGAUGUAGUUCUUAGGUAAAAAGUAAUUUGUUACAGAAUUUAAUAUGGCAGGGAAUUAUUCAGACACCAGCUUUAUCUGUAUGGCAAAUCAGCUUGGGCGCAUCCUUCCCACAACAGCCCUUAUUUCAAAACUCAGCUUUUUUUUUUUUUUUUUUUUCCUGGUAUUGCUAAAACUUCACCAAACAAGGACCCUGUGGAUAAGGUGUUGUGUCUUGCUGCUGAGGAGUCAUCACUAAAUAAAUCAGGCUAAUUCAGGAGUGAGCGAGGCUGUCCCAGAACCGCUGUGAGCUUCCUCUGCAUAGGGAGGAUGGACACCUACGCCUGCCUUCUUCAGGUACCAACGAUCUUGGAAAUAAUCAUGGGCAAAGGUUCUCAAAUGGAAAAAACAUAUUUUAUCCUCCCAACAGGCAGGAGCACACCCGAUGCCAGCGAAGCAAGGACUGCAGUUUGUGAAGCUCUGGGCAGACACUUGCUUACACAUCCCGGCUCCUUGCUUUUUGGUCUUGGACUCAGGGUAGGAUCUAUGCUUGGAAAACCGCAGAUUCUUGAUCUGAACCAUGGCUUUGUAGAUUAAGGCACUUUGUUUUGUUCUGAACAAGACGACUGAAGAUAACACCCCAGUUCCAUGUAAAGCUUCCUCCUUUUUUUCAUCUUGAGUUUAACAUUGGAUCAACGUGAUUUUUUUUAAUGCAAAGAGUGGAUGCUACUCCUAACACUUUUUCAUUGUUUUCCAUUAACUAUAUACACAAAAUCCGUUUUUUUCUAAGUCCUGAGAAACCUUAGGCUUUCUAUGACAUGCUGUUUGGGGAGCCCAGGGCAUGCACUUUGGGGGUUUCUUUGAUUCUGCUAUUCACACUUCUAUACAACACAGUGGUAAAAAACCUCUCCAACAACUUUAUUAGCAUUAAUAUGAAAUACUAUGUCUAACAUAAUGAUUUCCUUCUUUAUUUCUUUAGUCUGAAAACAAACGUGAUACAUCUCCCUUGAAGCUUCAAAUCAAUAACCUAAAGUAAUUGCUUCUCAUAAAUGGGUUUCAGGACUGAUGCUGAUAUUUCAAAGUGUGACUUUUCUUCUCUUGCUAAAUAAAAUAAUGCUGAUUUUAUAGCAAAAACUCUUACCAGCAGGGUGCAAGCUUCUGCAACUUCCAUUUUAAGGUGGAAGACUGGGGUCUGGGGGCGUGUGUGUUCUGUUUCAGACGAUAUAAGUUAUUUGUGUAACAAUGGAAAAAUUUCAUUUCUCUUUUUUACUUAAAUUUAACUCUUCAUUGAAGGUGCAUAGUAAUGUUUGCCUUGCCUGUGAGCUGAAACAUUUGCUUAAUGGUUACAAACUGCUGUGAAAAUUUAGCAUUAAAAGCUUUGAUCAUGCAACUUCGUAAUUACUGGUUGCUUCUCAAGUGUGUAACUGUGAGUACUGCUAGUCGUGGGUUCUCAGGAGUUUCUUCCUCCUUGCUUGUUUAGCCAUGAGUGAAUUUAAAAAUCUUAUGAGUUAUAUACUAUAUGUAUAUAGUUAAUCCACAGGAUUUUUAUACGUAUAUUAUGUGUGUGUGUAUAUAUAUAUUUAUAAAUUUUCUCCUUUUAGUCUCGGGCUGAUGUGGAAGGUGGACAGAAGAACCAAGGUGUGUGGAAAGAUGAGUUCUGCUGGAAACUGGGGCUGGCUGGUACCUUCCACCUGCUGGGCGUGGGAGUACAGAGGUGUCACCUGCUGUCACACCACCACUGCCUGUGGCCCUGUCGGACCCUCGUCCCCAAAGACUCUUAGAGCAGCCUGAGGUCACAGUCACCAGAACCUUCCCAGCGUGAGGAAGCGGUGGUUAGCGCCUGAAUUUCCCAAGUUGCCAAGGUCAACAGCUGCAAUUUAUCGAUACUGAAUUUGAGAGACAGCUAAAAUAGGUACCUUUGGACACUGAAAUCAUUCUUCCUGGCCCACCGUUGGAUAAAUGCAGAUCGAUACCUCUGCAUAACAAAAGCAUGAAAAGCAGAAGAUGAGGUUGUAUCCCUCAACCAAAGCCCAAAGGCGUUGUACUCCCACUCUGAAAUACCAGUAUGGACCACAUGGCAGAAUUGGGAUCUGGCAAUAAAAAAUAAAAUAAUGAAAAAAAGAUGCUAGCUGGGAAGUGAUAUUGGAUGCAGAGGAGGUCAGCAGCUCUUGCUGAAUGAGCCCAUCGCGCUGCAGCUGGCAUCAGAGGCUCUUGGGCUGCGGAUGACUUCAGCGCUUUGCAUGCUGGGCUGGGCUGCUCAACACGGCCAAGACUGACUUUUCCAAGGAGCAGUGGGAGCAAUAAACAAAGACAGACUUGGGUAACUCCAGUAA